rnacentral:lncRNA from 1 species
CUUCUCCAUAUUAUACCGAACAACCUCCACCUCUUGAUACUGAACCUGUUCUUCCUAUAACACCUACUGCCAUUGAACGUCGUUCUUACCCCAUUGUUACCGGAUCUCCUCCUCCCCCUUCUGGAUCCAAACCUUCAUCACCUGUUUUCCAACCUCCAAAACCACCUGCAGAUCCAAAUGACCCAUAUGGGGUCCACAUGACCAUCAAUCAGGCCCUGAUUACUGAAGAGCCCAUGUCUGCUACUGGGAGCCCCAAUCCGGAUCCCUAUACCCAACCUCCUAAAUGGCCUGUGGGUCCAUACUAUUACCCCUAUGGUCCUUACUACCCCCAUUUGGUCCUCACCAUUACCCCUUCAUACCCAUCUACUACCCCUUACCUACCCCAGGGCCUAGCCCAGUCAUGGCUAGUCCUCCCCAGACUCUCCCUUCAGGUCCUCAGGACCCUACAAUGCCCACAGUCUACCCACCCCACCACUACCCUCAGCCAGUCACCUGCUCUCCCUCUGCCCAUACCAUCUGUAGCUAUGACCCAUAUCCCGUGGAUGUGCCACACUACCAGCCACACCAUCCAUAUCCUCUCUACCUGACGCCCAGCCCCUCUCUGACCACCCCGGCCCUUCCUUCCACGGGUACAGCUCUGCCUGGUGCUACUCAACCACCCCAGACCUCACCAACCACCCCCUCACCCUCCUCCAGGACCAUAUCUACCACUACUACUCUCACUCCUUGGAUGUCCAUCCUCACCCCUACUCUCCCCCCUCAGCCCUCCCUCUCUCCUGGGCUCUCCCCUCGGCCAUCCCUCCGCUGUCUAGCAGGACAGAUGAUGGUGUCGCUGCCCUCUGCUCUCCUGGACUCCAUCCAGGUCAAAGAUCAGCUGAAUGGCUGGGUGUCUAUCUCCAGUGCCCCGGCGGCUUGUAGAUACAUCCUGCAGAUGAGUAAGGGUGGUGGAGUGAUCCUCCAUUCCCCUCUCCCUGCCUGCCACAGCCAGGCUAUGGCCCUCAACCCACACCAGCUCUCCCUCCCCCUGAAGUUUUGGGACACAGUCCUGGGGCAAUACAGAACUCUGGAGCUCCAUUGCCCGUCAACUGUGACCCCAUCACCCCACACCACUACCACGACCCACACCAGGCCUCCCACUCCCCCUAAGCCACACGUCUUCUGCUCUGCUCGCCACAUGAGGGUGGAGCUUCCCCCAGGUCCCAUAUCUGGAAUCGUUGUCAAGGACAUCGAAGGGAAUGAGAUGAGCCUGAUGGAUGCCCCAAAGCAUUGUGGGUAUGUGGCAAGCAAGGGCAAGGAUGGCAUGAUCACCCUGAACCGCCCCUUCAACUCCUGUCACAUGACUGUCCAGGGUAAAGAGCACCGCAUGGAUGUGAUUUACUCCACGUUGAACGGACAAAAAGGGAAGGCCCAGUUGUCCUGUCCAGUUUCCAUACCAGUUUCUCAUCAAGAGUGUAACCUUCCCAGUGACCAGCGCCUCCCCUGCGGCCGCCGCCCUCUAUCCCAGGCAGAGUGUCUCUCUCUGGGCUGCUGCUACAGCACCAAGCCCUCUGCCUGCUACUACUCCAUGGAUGGAGGUAGGCCAAACGGUAAUCUACAUGGUGGAGAUCAUCAACACGGUCCAGUCAAUCACCCUCGACUAUGGGACCAUCACCAGAGACUCUCCUAUCAGGCUGCUGGUAGAGUGCCAGUACACUCCUGGCUCUGUGGUGAGUGUUGGCUUCCUGGUCAAGACCCCUCCCUGGGCCCCUCCAUUCAGGCCCAGGGUGUGUUGGGGGUCCAGCUCAGGAUUGCCACAGACGUGCAGUACAGUAGCUUCUACCCCCAGUACCACCGGCCCCUGCAGAUGCUCUUGGGUAAACCCUUACACCUUGAGGUGCGUCUGCUCAACCCCCCCCAGAUGACAAAGUGGUCCUGCUGGUACACUACUGCGUGGCCUACCCCAGAUCAGGACAGACUGUCUGGGUACUCCUCUAUAAUGGAUGUCCUAACCAUCUGGACCCGGCCUCUCAGAAGUCUCACCCAUCUCCUCCACCCCCACCCCUUCCACCAAGGCCAGAUAUGAAGGUUCACCAUCUCCACCUUCCAGUUCCUCACCUCUGGACAGACCCAGACAUUGGAGGACCAUGAAGAGAUCUACUUCAUGUGUUCUACUGAAGAGUGUUCGCCGCUGGACGGCAGCCUGUGUGUAGAGGGAUGCUUUGGCCAGUGACUAGAAAAGAUGGACAGAAAGCAAUAGUCAUGGAAGAUUAACUGGCCCAAGGCUGCUCGUUCACUACUAAUAAAACCCCUUAAAAGGAGACUGUGUGUUUCUUGCUCCCAGGCAGUCUAGUCUAGUUUGGAUGGCAUGAAGCUGACUCCACGAGUGUUGUACUCAGUUGUUUAUGUUCACACUGACUCCGCCUAUGGAGGUUCUAGACAACGGCAUGAAUCAACAUUCUGGAUAUCCAAUAUUGCUCCAUACAUUGUUUUGAAUAUAGGUUAGUAUUUAGAUAAGUUAGCAGACCUCUUCCAUAUUGCACAUACAUACAUGCAUACAUAAUAUCAGCCUAUAGUCAUUAAUUC